UUCUGCCCUGAGGAGAACUGGAGACAAAGUUUAGACCCUCAAGUGCAACAAACGCUCUCUCGCAGCAGCGGGAGAGGACAGUGCUAGGAGACAGGAGCUCGGGUUCGCGGGAGAAGACGGUGCUAGGAGACAGGAGGUCGGGUUUGCGGGAGAGGACGGUGCUAGGAGACAGGAGGUCGGGUUAGCGCGAGAGGACGGUGCUAGGAGACAGGAGGUCGGGUUAGCGCGAGAGGACGGUGCUAGGAGACAGGAGGUCGGGUUUGCGGGAGAGGACGGUGCUAGGAGACAGGAGGUCGGGUUCGCGGGAGAGGACGGUGCUAGGAGACAGGAGGUCGGGUUAGCGCGAGAGGACGGUGCUAGGAGACAGGAGGUCGGGUUUGCGGGAGAGGACGGUGCUAGGAGACAGGAGCUCGGGUUCGCGGGAGAGGACGGUGCUAGGAGACGGGAGCUCGGGUUCGCGGGAGAGGACGGUGCUAGGAGACAGGAGCUCGGGUUCUGGCCUCAGCUCUGCCAGGUUCUCUUGGGUUGCUGCCUCACCUCAAAGAAGUCACUUUUCCCCUUCCUCUCUGUGCCUGUUUACUCAUCUGUAAGAUGAAGGAAAGAAUCCCUGUACAGCCCACCCAAAGUAGUGAUGAGGUUAACUACUGUGCAAAAAACUGUUAGGGUUAAUCGCAUUUAAAAGUGGCAGUUUGUCGGCCAGGCAUGGUGGCUCACGCCUGUAAUCCCAGCACUUUGGGAGGCCGAGGUGGGCAGAUCACUUGAAGUCAGGAGUUCGAGAGCAGCCUGGCCAACGUGUUAAAACCCCAUCUC
rnacentral:lncRNA from 1 species